rnacentral:lncRNA from 1 species
CGAACUUAACCACUGCGCCAGCGGGCUGGCCCCAGAAAAUACUUUAAUAAAGGAUCACUUGACAACCAAAGAAAAAAAAAGAAAGAAAAUAAAGCAAGUUGAAUCCAGAAACAUAUUAAAUAGAUUAUACACCUUGAUCAAUGGAAUUUAUCCCAGGAAUGCCAGGUUGGAUCAACAUGCAAAAAUCAAUGCAAUACAUCAUAUUAAUAGAAUAAAGGACUAGAUUCACAUGAUUGUCUGAAUUAACACAGAAAAAGCAUUUGACAAAAUCCACCACACUUUUAUAAUAGAAAAACACUCAAAAACUAGGAAUAGAAGGGAACUUCCUCAACCUGAUAAAAAGCAUCUAUGAAAAACCCACAGCCAACCUCAUAAUUAAUGGUGAAAGACUGGAUACUUUCUCCCUAAGAUCAGGAACAAGACAGGAAUGUCUGUUCUUGCCAGUUCUAUUCAACACUAUACAGGAAGUUUUAGCUCAGGAAAUUAGUUGCGAAAAAUAAAAGGCAUCCAGAUGGAAAAGGAAGAAAUAAAACUAUUCACAGAUGACAUGAUAUUGUAUAUAGAAAUCCUAAGGAAUUAGCACAAGAAAAUAUUAGAACUAAAAAACUAUCAACAAGGUUGCAGGCUACAAGAUUGAUAUACAAAAAUCAAUUGUAUUUCUAUACAGUAGCAAUGAAAAAUCCAAAAAUGGAAUUAAAAAAACAAUUCCAUUUACAAUUGCAUCAUAAAGAAUAAAAUAAUUAGGAAUAAAUUUAACAAAAGAAGUGCAAGAUUAGUACGCUGAAAACCAUGAAACAUUGUUGAAAGAAAUUAGAGAAGACCUAAAUAAAUGGAAAGACAUUUCAUGUUCAUGGAUUGGAAGACUCAAUGUUGUUAAGAUGGAAAUACUCUUCGAAGUGAUCUGUGGAUUCAAUGCAAUCCCUAUCAAAAUCCUAGUGGCCUUUUUUGCAGAAACUGGCAGGCUGAUCCUACAAUUCAGAGGGAAGGCCAAGGAACUAGAAUAGUUAAAACAAUCUUGAACAAGAAGAAAAUACUUUGAGUACUCUCACUUCCUGACUUCAAAGCUUAAUACAAAGCUAUAGUAAUCAAGACAGUGUGGGACUGGUUUAUGGAUAAACAUAGAUCAAUAGAAUUGAGAGUCAAAAAAGAAAUCCUUAAAUUUAUGGUCAAUUGAUCUUCUACAGGGAUGUCAAGACUAUUCAGUAGGGAAAGAAUAGUCUUUUCAAAAAUGGUGUGGGGACAACUAGAUAGCCAUAUGCAAAAGAAUGAAGCUAUACUGUAUACUAUACACAAAAAUUAACUCAAAUGGAUCGUAUACCUAAAUGUAAAAAAUGUGGUAUAUUCAUACCAUGGAAUUUUAUUCAACUAUAAAAAGGAAUGAAGUACUGAUACAUGCUACAACCUGGGUGAAACUUGAAAACAUUAUGUUAAGUGAAAGAAGCCAGACACAAAAGGCCACCUACUGUAUGAUUCUAUUUAUAUGAAAUGUCCAGAAUAGGCAAGUUUAUAUAGAGAGAAAGUUGAUUAGUGGUUGCCAGGGGCUGGAAGGGAGGGAGAAAUGGGGAAUUUCAGAUAAGGAACAUGGGAUUUCUUCUUGGGAUGAUGAAAUGUUCUAAAUUUAGAUAAUGAUGUUGGUUUUACAACUCUGUGAUAUACUGAAAACCACUGAACUGUACACUGUGAAAGAAUGAAUUUUAUGGUGUGUGAAUUAUAUGCCAAUAAAGCUAUUAUAUAAAAAAGGAACCUAUCAUAUAACAGUAAUAUUAUGAGUUUCUAUGUAUUUCUCCUCUUACUAGAAUUAGACCAUGAACUCUCUUCAUCCUUACACAUUGUAGAUACUCAAUGAACACAAUAAUUACUUGAUCCAGUAAUUAAUUUAGUGAAAUCUUUGAAAGAAGUUUAAGACAUUGACAGGCAGUUGGAAGGAAAGACUAUUGGCUGCUGAGCAGAGGUGUGGAGAAGGCAGAGCACCGGGUCUGAGCAGCCAGCCAUUCCCAUCUGGCUAGGAGACACCGGAGAGGAAGUAGUCCAGAUGCAAGUGUUCAGUCAAAAGCUACCAGGGAAGUUGCUCCAAUUGGAACAAAACAGGAGGAAAGUGGUUUCAUCUUUGGCUACCACAACCAGCUCUGCCCAGUCUGGAAAUCCUGCUUUAAAAGCCUAACGUGUGGGGCCAGCCUGGUGGCGCAGUGGUUACAACUAAGUGGACAUUCAUUAACCAAUAGAGGAUUCCCUACCCAGCACAACAGGAUGCCUAAAAGAUCUGUGCAGCCAUACAGCUGAAGCCCCCCGGUACAUAGUUGUGUAUUCUUCGCUGUGGGUUCCUCCAGUUGUGGCAUGUGGGACGCUGCCUCAGCGUGGUCUGACGAGCAGUGCCAUGUCCGCGCCCAGGAUUCGAACCGACGAAACACUGGGCCGCCUGCAGCGGAGCGCGAGAACCCAACCACUCGGCCACGGGGCCAGCCCCUCUUCUUUCUUCUUAUAAGGCCAAUCCUGUUGAAUUACGACUCUACCCUAUGAC